rnacentral:tRNA from 1 species
GGGGAUGUAGCUCAGUUGGUUAGAGUGCCGGCCUGUCACGCNNGUCGCGGGUUCGAGUCCCGUCAUCCCCGCCA